rnacentral:rRNA from 1 species
GUCAGAGGCGAUGAAGGACGUGCUAAUCUGCGAAAAGCGUCGGUAAGGUGAUAUGAACCGUUACAGCCGGCGAUGUCCGAAUGGGGAAACCCAGUGUGAUUCGUCACACUAUCGUUAACUGAAUACAUAGGUUAACGAGGCGAACCGGGGGAACUGAAACAUCUAAGUACCCCGAGGAAAAGAAAUCAACCGAGAUUCCCCC